ACUAAUUUGGCAGAGAAUUAUAGAAGUGUGAUAAAUUUAGAAUUUAUGGAUGUGUUUACACAAUUAGUA
rnacentral:tRNA from 1 species